rnacentral:lncRNA from 10 species
UUAAUAGCUAUCCUCAAACACUGUUUUGCAGAUGAAAAUAAUGAGUAUUUAGGAUAAUAAUAUUUUCUUAUUCAUGGACUGGUUUUCAAAUUCAUGAGGGCAAGAUUUUGUCUUUCAUGUUUACUAAUGCACCCCUGAUGCCUAGAUUACUGUCUAUCACAUAUUAGACACUCAAUACAUACUUGUCAACUACAUGAAUGAACGCAUCUUGGGUAUGAAUGAAAAUGUUGGAAGUAGCAACGGAGAACUAGUAUGCAAAUAUGAGAGCCCCUUCCUAUUACCUCUUUUAUUUUUUCUGUUGUUAUGAAAAUACAUAUGACAUGUGCCACAGAAAAAAAUGGUAUUUGUCCAACUACUAUUUUUCUUUUUUUCUGGAACAUAAAGAAAUAUUACAUUGCCUCCCUUGUUGCUAGUUUGGAACCAUGUAAUUGAGUUCUUGCCAAUGGGAAUGUGGGAGGUAGUGAAGUGAUGUGCUACUUCUAGUUUGAGGCAAGUAAGAAUGCUAUGGUGUCUCUAUUUUCCUCUCUCUUGUCUUUGAGGUAGAAGAAAAGAAGUGUGAAAUUAUGGAUGUAUAAGAUGGACAAGUAGAACGCAACUCAGAUCCUGACUCACUUUUAGAACGAUCACCAACAAAGAGCCACUCAAUUAGCAGACUGUAAUAUGAGAGAUAAAUAAAACUUUUGGAGGUAAAUCCAUGGAUAUUCCAGGAUUUAGGUGUUGCAGAAGUGGAGUCAGAGUGAAGCACUUGUUCCUGAAGUGAUGUCAAAAGAGAGUGACCAGCCGGAUAAUGUAUAAAGAAGAUAUAGUAUUUUAUAAGGCCAUUAUGGCUCUAGACACUGUCUUUCAUUUGUGCAGGUUCAAGCUCAGAGGCACCAACAAAACAUCCAUGCACAAACUUAUAAUGUAAGAUAUUGAUUUAUUAGCUUCUAAUGAAAUAUGUUUUUAUUAACUAAGAGAUUGAUACAUAAAACAAAUCUUGAUACUUUAAGCAAGAAAUUUCCUUGUAGUGAAUAGCUUUACUAGAAAUAAAUUUAUUAUUCAAGAUAGUGGUUUGUGAACAUAGGAUUGUAAGUGAGAAGAUGUCAAUUAAGUUAGUUGUCUCUAUUAAUUGACUGUGCUGGUGUUGCAGUAGUUUUUCAGAAUUAACAUAACUAAUUGAAAGCAAAAACAUCUCUCCAAACAUCUCUGAGAAAAUGAUACAUUACUGUCUAAUUUUCCACCUUCUUUUCUAUGUUUCCUCCAGUUUAUAUUAUUAUUUCAGUUAGGUACAAUACAACUGAUUGAUGUAGAACUUCUUUUGUACUGUUUAUAAUCUUCUCCUUGGAACAUAAACUGCUAUUGCUUUUAUCAGAAGAAGCCUUACUCCUACAAGUAACACACAAAC